AAAAUGCAAGUCGAACGGUGAAGCCCAGCUUGCUGGGUGGAUCAGUGGCGAACGGGUGAGUAACACGUGAGCAACCUGCCCCUGACUCUGGGAUAAGCGCUGGAAACGGCGUCUAAUACUGGAUAUGUGACUCGACCGCAUGGUCUGUGUCUGGAAAGAAUUUCGGUUGGGGAUGGGCUCGCGGCCUAUCAGCUUGUUGGUGAGGUAAUGGCUCACCAAGGCGUCGACGGGUAGCCGGCCUGAGAGGGUGACCGGCCACACUGGGACUGAGACACGGCCCAGACUCCUACGGGAGGCAGCAGUGGGGAAUAUUGCACAAUGGGCGCAAGCCUGAUGCAGCAACGCCGCGUGAGGGAUGACGGCCUUCGGGUUGUAAACCUCUUUUAUCAGGGAAAAAGCAAAAGUGACGGUACCUGCAGAAAAAGCGCCGGCU
rnacentral:rRNA from 1 species